rnacentral:tRNA from 15 species
GCUGCCUUAGCUCAGAUGGCUAGAGCGCCGCUCUCGUAAAGCGGAGGUCGCGGGUUCGAGGCCCGCAGGCAGCUC